rnacentral:lncRNA from 1 species
UCGCGGGGAAAUAACGGGGAAUUCCCGAUUGGAAACAUCCCAGAACCUUCCAGAACCUUCCAGAACCUCCUGGAACAUCCCAGAACCUUCCAGAGCAUCCCAGAGCAUCCCAGAGCAUCCCAGAACCUUCCAGAACCUUCCAGAGCAUCCCAGAACAUCCCAGACCAUCCCAGGCUCCAUCAUCAUUGGGAAUUCCCUGCUGGAAUCGGCCCUGGAACCUUCCGGAACCUCCCAGAACCUUCCAGAACCUCCCGGAACCUUCCAGAACCUUCCAGAACCUCCCAGAAGUUUCCAGAACCUUCCGGAACCUUCCAGCCCCCUCCGGCUCAUCCCACAUUUCCCCUCCCCCCUCGUUCCUGGCUGGAUUUUCGGGAAGGAGCCGAAUUUUGGGAUGGAGCAGGAAUUUUUGGGCUGGGAUUUUUGGGAUGGGAUUUUUGGGAUGGGACAGGAAUUUUUUGGGAUGGAUGGAACAGGAAUUUUUUGGGAUGGACAGAGUGGAAUUUCGGGGACCCCCCCCCCGUGCCAAUAAAAUCGGUUUCCACCCCUCCGUCUCCCCCUCCCCAAAUGACAGAAAACAGCCGAGACCCCUCCCCAAAACGGAGCAUCCAAAGGCUUUUAAUUCCCAAAAAUUCCCAAAAAAAACCCGGGAAAGGGG